rnacentral:rRNA from 1 species
UACUCCUACGGGAGGCAGCAGUGGGGAAUAUUGCACAAUGGGCGCAAGCCUGAUGCAGCCAUGCCGCGUGUAUGAAGAAGGCCUUCGGGUUGUAAAGUACUUUCAGCGAGGAGGAAGGCAUUGUGGUUAAUAACCACAGUGAGUGACGUACUCGCAGAGAGCCCCGUUUCC